GGAGGGUGCAAGCGUUAUCCGGAUUCACUGGGUUUAAAGGGUGCGUAGGUGGGUUGGUAAGUCCGUGGUGAAAUCCCCGAGCUUAACUUGGGAACUGCCAUGGAUACUAUCAGCCUUGAAUGUCGUGGAGAUGAGCGGAAUAUGUCAUGUAGCGGUGAAAUGCUUAGAUAUGACAUAGAACACCAAUUGCGAAGGCAGCUCGUUACGCGAAUAUUGACACUGAUGCACGAAAGCGUGGGGAUCAAACAGGAUUAGAUACCCUGGUAGUCCACGCCCUAAACGAUGGAUACUCGACAUACGCGAUACACUGUGUGUGUCUGAGSGAAAGCAUUAAGUAUCCCACCUGGGAAGUACGAU
rnacentral:rRNA from 1 species